CACGUAGGGCGCAAGCGUUGUCCGGAAUUAUUGGGCGUAAAGAGCUCGUAGGCGGACUGUCACGUCUGCUGUGAAAAGCUGGGGCUUAACCCUGGCCUUGCAGUGGAUACGGGCAGACUAGAGGUAGGUAGGGGAGAAUGGAAUUCCCGGUGUAGCGGUGAAAUGCGCAGAUAUCAGGUGGAACACCGGUGGCGAAGGCGGUGAUCUGGGCCAGUACUGACGCUGAGGAGCGAAAGCGUGGGGAGCAAACAGG
rnacentral:rRNA from 1 species